rnacentral:lncRNA from 1 species
UUAUAUUGCAAAUGCAUCGUUUUCUUUUUCUUUUUUUUUUGAGAAAUAGAUAGCACGCUCCUCGCUUUAUUUAUUUUAUUUUGAAAUAAAAUUAUCUGAAAAUGUGAAUCAACUAGGAUUCGAACUUGAGACUCGCAUACCAACCACCAAACACUUUACCACUUCCUCUAGAAACGGUCAGUAAUUAUAUCGUUUUCUUACAUCAAAAGAUAAUUAAAUGCUACAACUUUAAUUGGAACUACAGAAUUGUAAUUUGUUAGUAGUAGU